rnacentral:tRNA from 1 species
AAUAAAGAGCCUGAUUAAAGGGUUAUUUCGAUAAAAUAAAUCAUAUGAAUUUAAUUUCAUCUUUAUUA